rnacentral:rRNA from 1 species
GUUGUAUGGUUAAGUGACUAAGCGUACACGGUGGAUGCCUUGGCAGUCAGAGGCGAUGAAGGACGUAGUAACUUGCGAUAAGCGUAGAUGAGGCAGUAACAGCCACUUGAGUCUACGAUUUCCGAAUGGGGAAACCCACUGGCAUAAGCCAGUAUCAUUGAGUGAAUACAUAGCUCAAUGAAGCGAACCGGGAGAACUGAAACAUCUAAGUACCCCGAGGAAAAGAAAUCAACCGAGAUUCCGAAAGUAGCGGCGAGCGAAAUUGGAUUAGCCCUUAAGCUUUACAUGUGUUAGACGAACGGUCUGGAAAGUCCGACGAUACAGGGUGAUAGUCCCGUAGUUGACGAUGCAUGUUCAGUGAAAUCGAGUAGGGCGGGACACGUGUUAUCCUGUCUGAAUAUGGGGGGACCAUCCUCCAAGGCUAAAUACUCCUGACUGACCGAUAGUGAACCAGUACCGUGAGGGAAAGGCGAAAAGAACCCCUGUGAGGGGAGUGAAAUAGAACCUGAAACCGUGUACGUACAAGCAGUAGGAGCACCUUCGUGGUGUGACUGCGUACCUUUUGUAUAAUGGGUCAGCGACUUAUAUUCAGUGGCAAGGUUAACCAUCUAGGGGAGCCGUAGGGAAACCGAGUCUUAACUGGGCGCCAUAGUCUCUGGAUAUAGACCCGAAACCGAGUGAUCUAGCCAUGGGCAGGUUGAAGGUUGAGUAACAUCAACUGGAGGACCGAACCGACUAAUGUUGAAAAAUUAGCGGAUGACUUGUGGCUAGGGGUGAAAGGCCAAUCAAACUCGGAGAUAGCUGGUUCUCCCCGAAAGCUAUUUAGGUAGCGCCUCGGACGAAUACUACUGGGGGUAGAGCACUGUUAAGGCUAGGGGGUCAUCCCGACUUACCAACCCUUUGCAAACUCCGAAUACCAGUAAGUACUAUCCGGGAGACACACGGCGGGUGCUAACGUCCGUCGUGGAGAGGGAAACAACCCAGACCGCCAGCUAAGGUCCCAAAUUACAGCUAAGUGGGAAACGAUGUGGGAAGGCUUAGACAGCUAGGAUGUUGGCUUAGAAGCAGCCAUCAUUUAAAGAAAGCGUAAUAGCUCACUAGUCGAGUCGGCCUGCGCGGAAGAUGUAACGGGGCUAAGUU